AAAGGGUUCUACAAGGAAGGUUUAUGAAAACCUUGAGAAUAAAAAUGCAGAAUAAUCAUAUCCUUAUAGAUUGUAUCAAGACGACAGAAAUUGUAUGAUCAGACCCCUGACCAUCGCCUCAGCUCAUCAUUGCGUCAUCUGGAUGGCUUCCCUAAGCUCCCACCUGGGCCCAGAAAGGAAACGGCUUAUGACCUGCAGUCUUUGACUAUCACCAUCUCCAUUCUAUUUAUGGCCCUGCUGCACCUCUGUGCAAAUUAGGAGAAGGUGACCCUCUUGUGGGGAUGGAGGAGAAGGACAAACCAGGCCGUGAUCUGGCCAGUAAAGUGGGACUGGGCUGGCUCCUGGUGGGCUUUGGUAAGGUGUAACCUGCACCAUGGUCAUUACUGCCCAAAAUGAGAGCCAUCAGCUUGCUAAGAAUCGCUGAGCCCGGAGCGCCACUCUUGGGUGAAGAUGCUUCUUUCAGAUCCCCGCCUACCCACCUGCAAGGCUUGCAGGAAGUCUUGAGAAGAACCAAGAAGGAGGCUGAUGCUCCUAGUUGUUCAUGAGCAGCCAAUGUGGUAGGCUGAUGCCUAACAGUUUCCACCUUCUUCUGCAUUUGUGGCUGAGGAUCUACCCAUGAGCCCCACAGAGCAAGAGCUGCCAGAUUAAUGCUCCUGCCUAUGACAUGGAAAUUGUCAAAAAUAGACCUGAAUCCUUGCCAGGCCUCCCCAUGAUUUCUGUGUAGUAUGGCCUUAAAUAUAUUAGAUAAGUCAGAAGCCUAAAAUAGCUCAGCUCUUAGAAUAACAGAAUUUGGUCCCCUCCCACUUCCGUAAGUUGAAUUCUUAAUUGCUAAAUUUCAGGCUUUUUUGUUGUUGUUUAUGUAAGAAUUUCAAGGCCACAACUCCAUAUUUGAAGUAAAGUGCUCAUAAAAUUAAUUGCAAGACUUCUGAAGAGAGAUUUGCUAGGAAAAAUAAAAAGAUAUAUAAAUUUCAGUGAUGCUGAAGGUUUUGAGAAGCCAUCUGCAGCUCACAACUAGAUGAGUGACACAAUCAGAUGUGCGUAUGCAAAAAAAAGCCUGGAGACAUUGAACUAAGAUCAAAUUUAAUGUAUUAAAUAUGGUAGAAAGAAGAGAGAAUGAAAAAUAAUGUUAACAAUCUAGGUGAGGAAUUGCUGAGGAGACAAAUUAAGUAAAUCCUGUGGAAGGAAAGAAGAAAGGAGGAAAGAGGAUUGGAUGGAAGAAUCUCCACUUCUCAUGGAGCAAUGAACUGAAGAUAUUUGAGUGAGUUCAAGAGAGACUCAGAAGAGAAGAAUUGGAGGCAGCAAACAUAGACAGCACUUUUAAUGCUUUUCUCAUAUGCUGUAAGACAUGAAAGCAAUCUAUUGGGAUGAAAGCUGAAAGGAGAAGCGGGACAAGAGAAGUGAAUCCGUGGAAGACCCCCAAAAGAGGCUGCAGAUUCUUAGUGGACAGCUCUCAUAUCCCCUCCAGGGAAAAUGAUGAAAAAUGUCUUCAGAAAAAUAGCUUUAUGAAGGCAAGAGGACUUUUUGCACCUGCAAGACAUGUCUGAAAGCUCCUCAGGUCAAAACACAAGUAGUCAAGAGAUUUGUCCAUCUAAUUCAUCAUACUACUCUGAUCCAAGUGAGACCCACACUGGGUCAGCUCCAUCAAGGAGAAGAACAUUCCACCCACGUUUGGAUUCUGGAAUAUCAUCCUUGCUUCCAUCAGAUUCUUGUAAGUACCUCACUUGGCACAAGGUAGACAUGACGUUCAAGGAAGUCAACUGCGUUGCCCAAGAGUAAGAGAAGGAAUCUCUGAAGAAGAGCAACUUUUCAGACAGGUAGAGUGUGCCUUGCUCCCAAGGAAAAGAGUUCUUGAAAAAAACAAAUGGGAAACAUGGCUACAAGAAAACUGGGAAGACUGCAAGAAUUUGAACAUUUCAUUUCAGGGUUUGGGGGAUCCUUACCAAGUUGAAAAUUUUAACAGAAUUCUUAGAAGACUAAUUCGAGUUGAAACCCUCUGGGAUUGCUAGAGAACCCCUUUUACAGGGAGCUGCUAUUUGCUUCAGCAGGCAGAAUGCGUAGGUGGAGUGAGCUUUGGUGGCAAUGAGAGGGGCCAACAGAGGUCCUCAGGAGUGAAUUAGAUGAAGGAAAUUGAGCAUCCACAAAAAGGAAAGAUCCACCAAUAAGAAGACAGCACAAUUCAAAAGAGAAAGGACUUAAUGACAGAGCUAAUAAUGCAAAAACAUGCUAACUGACAAGAAAAUCAUGGGUUUUAUACAAGGAUAACAAGUGCUGGGUUGCUUAGCUAUGAGGAAGGCUAGGCUCACUGCAUACCAGAAGAUGUACAGCGUUGGAGAAUUCAGGGAUUUUUAUCAACAAUCAAACUAUAUUUGUGGAAAUUUUGUGCAUAAGUGCCAAAGAUGGCUGACAUCGGACCACAUUCUAUUUAACUCAACUGAAUGACACCAAGCUCUCAUCCUAAAACUUAUAGUUACAUCCACCCUUCUGAAAUAUUUAAUUAUUCUCCAAUACACUGGAGGUAAUAGGUAUAAAAAGAAUGAGCAUGUGCAACUUAGUAUCUCAUAUCUAAUUUUGUGUCCCAAGUUCAUUCUUCCCCUGAAUGUCCCAUGUCUACCAGGUGCAGGAUUAUCUGGAUGGGUCAGUUCAAAACAAUUUCAGGGAAUAAAUUGUGUAGGGGACUCAAUUUUCUGAGACAGAAACAUAAUGUGAAUAACUCCUUUGUUAGAAAAUAAUUUCAGUGACAGAAAGCCUUUCAGUUCAUAAAGAAAACUUACAUAUCAACAAGCCUAGCUCCUCACUAGUCCCAGUGAAUGCUUACAUCAAUCAGCUCUACAAUAUCCAGUAAAGGACUUUCCAAUUCGCCUUUGAAUAAACUGAGGUAUUGGAAACAUCUAAGAAAAUGGUUUUUAAUUCUUCCUAAUCUUCAGGGAGUUCUUCCUUAUAUUGAGCUGAUAUCUGCCCUCUGUAACUUUCAACUAAUUAUUCAAAUCUCUCAAGUGAUUAUAAUUAAUUCCAUCUUAUAAGGAAUUUUUCUCAGCUUCCAGCCUCUUGAAAAUACUCUGAUAUUUUCUCUAAUAUUCAAGUGGAAAUGUAAAUGGGUAACGUAAGAGUCUGUGGGGUUAGGAGGGUGGAGGAAAGGUAAGGGAAAGCUAAUGAGAAAUAACCAAAGCAAGAAAAAGAAUUUUAUUUUCUUCAAGUUCUUUGUACAUCCAAAGUGGAAGAUUCCUAAAAUAAAUUCCCCAUACCACAUUUUAAAAAUUAGGUUAGCAAGCUUACUUUUUAAUUUAUUUAGAAGCCAACUACUUCCAUUUAUUAUUUCUUUCCAGAAUAGAACAAUUAUCACUAAUUGUUUGUCAUUAUAAUGCCAAACUAUGUUAAUAGAUGCCUAUUUUUUUAAAGGCUAAUUGCAAUCAUGAAACCAAAUAUCUAAUUAGUUUUAGAGCUUUGGACCACAUGCAUCAAUAUUUGAAUCAUUCAGGUGUAUAUUUGCUUUCUGCUUUUUUGUCUCUUCAAAAGAAGUAUUAUAUGCAUUCUGUUUAUAAUUUCUAAAUGGUCAUUUCAAAACUGAUUAUACGAGUUUAUACAAAUCAUACUGAAAUUUGUUGCUUAAAAAAUCUUCAUUUUUCUCUAAGCUCUCAGUGUCCUUGAGCUAUAUAUAUUUUAUGGCAAUUUUUACUUAAUAGUUUGUAUGCUAGUUAUUUUUGACAAUGACUACUAAAAUGCAAGUUUCUUCAAGGGCAGAUUCACCUUAGUUCUUCUUUAUACCCCUCAAAAACCUCAGGGUUAUUCUCAAUAAGUAUUGAGUAGGUGAGUGAACUUUGGAUGUAUACUCCUUGAAAUUAUAUUUCUGGAGCUGGAAAACUUUAAAAAAAUGUAUGUCAUGAGUCUAAAGAAAUAAACAUUAUAUGGCUGAAAAAAUACUUUGUGAAAACCAAAAAUCUCAUGGAAUCAUGAACUUAUCUAUGGGACAGAUGUUAGCCCUGAGGUUGUUCUGGGCUUCUUUUCUACCCACUUCCCAUGACCAAAUCAGUUCACUAGUCAGCAGUUCUAUCCUUCCUCUCCUUCUCCUUCCAUCUAAGGAGCUAGAGCUGAACUGCUUGGCCACUGAUUGCUGACAUGCUGAGUUUUCUACAGCUGGAGUUUUCAAGAGGGCUUUGAUUUUGCUUUCCCCAGUUUUCCUUCUUCCACACUUGAAAAGUGGUAAGGGUACCAGCUUUCUGUCUAUCUCUGACUCUCUCUCUCUCUUUCACACACACACACACACACACACACACACACACACACACUUUUUUUUUUCUUCCACCCUCCUGCACAGCAGGAGACCUUGCCUUGAUCUUUGAAGGUCUACAGCAAGUGGUCUAGGCUAACUCAGUGCUGGGCAAAUGGAGCAAAAACUCUUUUCUGCUUCCUUGCCUCCAUGUCUUUCAGAGCUAGCAGAUACAGCUUUUGUUCUAUAGGAGUGAUUCUUUCUAAAUGUCAGCUCAACAGGAUGAUGGUCACUCUUGUAUAUCACUUAGGCAUGAGUUCUGUUGAAUCCCA
rnacentral:lncRNA from 1 species